rnacentral:rRNA from 1 species
UACGUAGGGGGCUAGCGUUGUCCGGAAUCAUUGGGCGUAAAGCGCGUGUAGGCGGUUCGGUAAGUCCGCUGUGAAAGUCGGGGGCUCAACCCUCGGAUGCCGGUGGAUACUGUCGGGCUUGAGUACGGAAGAGGCGAGUGGAAUUCCUGGUGUAGCGGUGAAAUGCGCAGAUAUCAGGAGGAACACCAAUUGCGAAGGCAGCUCGCUGGGACGUUACUGACGCUGAGACGCGAAAGCGUGGGGAGCGAACAGG